AGAGUUUGAUCAUGGCUCAGGAUGAACGCUAGCGGCAGGCCUAACACAUGCAAGUCGAGGGGUAGAGGGUGCUUGCACCCUUGAGACCGGCGCACGGGUGCGUAACGCGUAUGCAACCUACCUAUUGCAGGGGAAUAGCCCAGGGAAACUUGGAUUAAUGCCCCAUAGUCCAUAUUGAGAGCAUUCGAUAUAUGGUAAAGAUUUAUCGGCAAUAGAUGGGCAUGCGUCCCAUUAGCUAGUUGGUAUGGUAACGGCAUACCAAGGCAACGAUGGGUAGGGGCCCUGAGAGGGGGAUCCCCCACACUGGUACUGAGACACGGACCAGACUCCUACGGGAGGCAGCAGUGAGGAAUAUUGGACAAUGGGCGGGAGCCUGAUCCAGCCAUGCCGCGUGCAGGAAGACUGCCCUAUGGGUUGUAAACUGCUUUUUUACGGGAAGAAACACCCCCACGUGUGGGGGCUUGACGGUACCGUACGAAUAAGGACCGGCUAACUCCGUGCCAGCAGCCGCGGUAAUACGGAGGGUCCGAGCGUUAUCCGGAAUCAUUGGGUUUAAAGGGUCCGUAGGCGGGCGUCUAAGUCAGUGGUGAAAUCUCGCGGCUCAACCGUGAAAUUGCCAUUGAUACUGGUCGCCUUGAAUUAGUGUGAAGUGGCUAGAAUAUGUAGUGUAGCGGUGAAAUGCUUAGAUAUUACAUAGAAUACCGAUUGCGAAGGCAGGUCACUAACACUAUAUUGACGCUGAUGGACGAAAGCGUGGGGAGCGAACAGGAUUAGAUACCCUGGUAGUCCACGCCGUAAACGAUGGAUACUAGCUGUCCGGCCUGCAUUGGUAGGCUGGGUGGCCAAGCGAAAGUGAUAAGUAUCCCACCUGGGGAGUACGUUCGCAAGAAUGAAACUCAAGGAAUUGACGGGGGCCCGCACAAGCGGUGGA
rnacentral:rRNA from 1 species